AAAUUGAAGAGUUUGAUCAUGGCUCAGAUUGAACGCUGGCGGCAGGCCUAACACAUGCAAGUCGAACGGUAACAGGAAGAAGCUUGCUUCUUUGCUGACGAGUGGCGGACGGGUGAGUAAUGUCUGGGAAACUGCCUGGUGGAGGGGGAUAACUACUGGAAACGGUAGCUAAUACCGCAUAACGUCGCAAGACCAAAGAGG
rnacentral:rRNA from 1 species